GGUGCCUUAAGAAGUGAGUGUACACACUAGCCAGAGUCCAGCGGUAUAUAAGGGGACCAAGAGAUGGGCCAGUCAAUUUCAGAUAUGUGUCUCAGGUCCCACUCCAGCCACCUUUGGCCCAUCUCAUCCGGCCACAGACACAGAAUAAAAGGAAGACCGGCUCCUACAACUGCUGACGGACCGAAAAGUCCUCACUCCUCCCUGGCUCUUCUUUCCUGCGCUGCAGCUUUUCCCUCCUUCUCUGGCUACAAUGUCACAAACACACAGGCGGCAGCAUUCGCAUGGAACAAUGCACAACAAAGACUCCAAGAAGUAUUUGUGGACCCCAAAUUCCCACUCUUCACAGCUUGGAAGGACACACCUGGUGCUGCUGCUUUCCUUAGCCUGGUGAGAGGAGCCCAGGUGGAACAGACACUUGGAGAGUGUGGAGACACCAGCAAAUCAUUAGGGAGGAAAAAAAAAACCCCAAAACAAAAAAACAACUGGAGGCAGUGUUGCCCCCACCAUGCAGCAAGAUUUCUAAGCUAAAGAACUGAACCACCAUCCAGCUGCACUUUAAAAACACAAGCCUGUUUUGUAUACCUGAGUCGGUGAGGCCAGCAUCUUCCGGCUGACCCAGGUCUGCCACGGCUGCCACAGCUGCCACAGCCACAGACACGACCGACUCAGGGCAAGGACUUGGGCGCCUUUGCCCCGGACCCUCGAUGAGCUGCUGGCGCUCAGGGCAAAAGUGCCAGUGCCACUGGGGGCGUCUACUCCGAUCUGCCAUUUCAAAGCAGCUGCCUGCAGGCCCUGUCUGCCCUCUGCUAGGGGAAUGCAAUGGAGCAGAAAAAAAUAAAAUGCUGGGGAGCUGGGAGGUGGGGACAAAAAGAAAGAAAGAAAGAGGGAAACCUUAAAGGCACUAUCUUGGAAGCAUAUGUUUUAGAAUCACUGCAGCCAGUUCCCUGUCAAGAAAAUAUUGGCUAGGUUGUCUGGUCCGAUCUCCUGCAGCCCAGGAUGGCUUCUGCCUCCCAGCUCAGGUCUCUCAACCAAGAGUAGCAAGAAACAAAGGAGACCUCACUUUGUGGUGUAGUCAUUCUGCCACCUAGUGUUACAUAUCAAAACAAACCAAUGACCACUUGAUGCGUUAAAAGAGGAAAAAGAGAAUGGAGAACACUGCUCGUGGCAUUUGUUUUUUCCUUUCUAGAAAAGAACAUCCUUUCCUUAUCCUGGAAGCCUGGGAAGGCAUCACCAACUUUUACAACAGUCAUUUUCUCCUUUGAACUGAAAGCCAAAGAGCAUUAUUAGGUCUGCAGUUUCGGAUGUGAAGGAGAAAGGAGUUAACGUCAAAACACAUCUUAAUGAUUUCUUAAAAGACCAAUGCUUCCCGGAAGGAGGAAUAUAAGGUCAGGGCAAUACCUCCAUGUAAAAUAAAUAUCACAGAUACGAUAAUACAAACCAGGAAGCAAAACCACAUAGGACUGGGUGGGGACGGCAUACCCCUGCACUUUCUGCCCUAGAGAAGAGAAGAAAAAGCAAGCAGAAAAAAACCACGGAUUUCUACUUAAGGCAUCAUCGCUUCUAUAGCUAACUCACGGGGAGGUCAUGAAUAGGCUGUAGCCUACUGGAGAGAAAUUCUUGGGUUUGAGUCCCAAUUCCAUAGCUUCCUGGCUGGGCUGGGUGAACUGUUCAGGAUCACUGAGCUGUGAUCUGCUUUACUAGAAAACAACUGUACUUAUGUCUAUUCUUCCUUCAUUCACAAAACUGUCCGAGAGGAUCCAUUAGGUAAUGUGCGUGAAGGCAUUCUGUCAACUAUUGAGCACCAUGAAGACCAUUUCCCCAUGCUAUUAUUUCUUUCUCAGGUUUACCGUUUACAUGGCCCCUGGUGGAAAGAGUUUGGGUAACCAACCUGUCCUAGAGUGCUAGUGUUUACCCUCAAAUAAAGUGCUUUUAUGGCUAAAAGAAAUAUUAAGUAAGAAAUAUUCAAAUAUUCACGUAACAAAUGAAAACACCCCCCCCCAACUGGACUAAUGAAAAAUUACCACUAUAAUUUUAAA